rnacentral:rRNA from 1 species
UACGAGAGGCCCAAACGUUAUUCGGAAUUACUGGGCUUAAAGAGUUCGUAGGCGGCAUUGCAAGUAGGGUGUGAAAGCCCUCGGCUCAACCGAGGAAUUGCGCUCUAAACUGCAGUGCUCGAGGAAGCUAGAGGUGAGCAGAACAGAUGGUGGAGCGGUGAAAUGCGUUGAUAUCAUCUGGAAUACCGGAGGCGAAGGCGGCUCACUGGGCAGUAACUGACGCUGAGGUGCGAAAGCGUGGGGAGCAAACAGG